GGUUUGGCAGGUUAUGAUGGUAAAUGAGGUAACCGAAGGAGGAUCAGAGAGGAUGCAGCUGCCAUUGAGGAUGCCUCUUGAGGAUGGAUGGUGACCCAGAGCACUGCAGAAGCUAAAUGUGGCGCAGCAGUUGGAGUGCCUGAGGGAGAUGGAGGAAGAAAGGGUCAUGCCCUAGGAAGGUGUGGAGCAAC
rnacentral:lncRNA from 1 species